UUAUAAUGUCAAAUGUUUUGAAAAUAAACCUGUGACAUUACUUGUCAGCCAUGCAGAUUCGAGUUUUUCAAAUAUCCCCAACUGUGAACCAAAUCCACAACCUCCAGUGACAUCUUUACACGAUCUCAAGGAGUGAGUACCUUGUGGAAAUCCGCGCGAACUCUUUGAAGUUUGCACUUAGCGCUCUUUAUUUCAUUUACACUUUAGAUUGUCUUAUUGGACGAGGCAUGCAUAUUUAAAGAGGUAAAUCAUGAUUACAAUGUCACGGUGAACGUGACACUAGUUCGUCGUUUGAUAGCACGUAUCAAGAGAAGAGUAGCACGUAGUUGUUUUCGUCAAGAGGAGAGACGAAAUAGUGAUUGCUGACAUGACUGAUAAGCUAGGAUUCGGCUGGCCUGUACAACAACAUCUGUCUUAUAGGAGAUCUGCAAGGCGGGGCAAAUAUCUAAGCUAAAUUGACAACUCGGUUGGGCAGUCACUCGGUUACGUUAUGACGCCACUGCGCAAGUCUGAAGAUCUGAGCAUUUCCGGAUGUGGGUGGAAGGCGGAUGCAGAUCCCGUCUGCGUGCACGGCUGCGGGAUUUACUGGCUUUGUCUCGUGAAAUUAACUCCCAAUGGACUGUCACGCACCUGUCAAUCAAUCAAUGUCUCCAGCUGUUCCUAAUAUACCAGGAAGAAGCCUCUGGACUGAUGGACUUAAUAUAUAUACAUCGAUCUCAUUUCACCUUCCUGCAAAAGGCCAGGAUCUUGGAAGAUGUGUUUUAUAAAUCAAUGAGACAUAUUUCCCCUGACAGCGUUGAGACCUAACGGAUGUGCUUGGAAUAGGUUUGGAAACCAGAGGGAUUAUUUUGAUAGAUAAUAUUUUAGAUCUUGAUAUGGAAACAUGUUAAGAUUUUAAAUAAGUGAUUAUUUGUGUUUUUUAUGCUUCACAGUUUAAGAGAUUAUAUUUUAUUUGUCAUUUACUGUUUGUGUGCAGAUACACGUUUUUGACUAUCUAACAGUACAAGCAAAUCAACGAGCAAGGAGUGGUUUUGGAUUUACGGUCGUUCUUUAUCUCCAGUUACCCCACGGUUUGUCAGCCCGAGAACAGCCCAUUAACUAGUUUCAGUAAUCAAACAAACAUCACCCUGUGACACGUCGCUUAUAUAAGUGCAAUAAUCUUGGACGCGACGUUAAACCCAAUUUCACCUCACCUCACCCUGUGAAGAUCCGGGUUAUAAUAGGUC